rnacentral:misc_RNA from 1 species
CCGAGCCACGCGCUCCAAACCACCGCGAACAUACCGAACCGUUGCCUCGGCGGGCGGCUCCAGGGAGGAGCCCGCGGCCCCCACGGGGGGGCGCCCGCCGCAGGCCCCAGAACCUCGUAUCACUGCGUCCUCGGAUUCUCCGCGCGAGCGGUAGGCAAAUCA